CGGGAGGCAGCAGUGAGGAAUAUUGGACAAUGGGCGAGAGCCUGAUCCAGCCAUGCCGAGUGCAGGAAGACUGCCCUAUGGGUUGUAAACUGCUUUUAUACGGGAAGAAACACUCCUACGUGUAGGAAUUUGACGGUACCGUAAGAAUAAGCAUCGGCUAACUCCGUG
rnacentral:rRNA from 1 species